CCCCUGUCAAAACGGAGGAACGUGCCUGGAUCGUCUCAACUCCUUCAGCUGUGCCUGUCGCCUUGGGUAUGCCGGAGAUUUGUGUGAAAAUGAUAUCAACUACUGUGACCCUUACCCUUGUCCAGCUGGUUUUACCUGCGUGGAUAAAGUUCUGGGAUUCGGCUGCGAAGUAACCGUUGGAGUCAGAGCUGCCGAUGCCUUCUGUAAGUCGUCCCCCUGCGGUUUUGGAUGGACCUGUGUCGAGGCUGGCACGACUGGGUACUCCUGCAUCCUGAAACUCCACUGACGAGCUUCGUUACUUACCAACGUACUGUGGUUCAUUGGAAGAUACUACACAUAGAUACUUCCAUGAAAACGGAGUUAUUAUAAUCUGUUUGUUUGUUUGCACUGGUGUGUGUCCGUAGUUGGACAGUCUGCCAAGAUGAAAGGCACUGAUAUUGUAGUAGGAUACUUGGAGAGCUGGACGUCUGGUUUGGCUUUGUUUUAAUAUUGUAUGGUGACAGGAACUGGUGAAUUAUGCCUAUAGCCACAAAUUGUAUGUCUGGGCGUUAGAGAUACCC